GAACGCGAAGAACCUUACCAGGUCUUGACAUCUGCAGAACCUCGUUGAAAGAUGAGGGUGCCUUCGGGAGCUGCAAGACAGGUGGUGCAUGGUUGUCGUCAGCUCGUGUCGUGAGAUGUUGGGUUAAGUCCCGCAACGAGCGCAACCCUUGCUAUUAGUUGCUAACAAGUUAAGUUGAGCACUCUAAUGGGACUGCCGGUGACAAGCCGGAGGAAGGUGGGGAUGACGUCAAAUCAUCAUGCCCUUUAUGAUCUGGGCUACACACGUGCUACAAUGGGCGGUACAAAGGGAAGCUAAGUCGUGAGGCGGAGCGGAUCCCAAAAAGCCGUUCUCAGUUCGGAUUGCAGGCUGCAACUCGCCUGCAUGAAGUCGGAAUCGCUAGUAAUCGCGAAUCAGCACGUCGGCGGUGAAUACGUUCCCGGGUCUUGUACACACCG
rnacentral:rRNA from 1 species